AAACCCCGAGCGCGGCGGCGUCCGGAGGGCAGCGGCGGCGGCGGCGGCGGCGUCUCGGCGACGGUUCCCUGGGCGCCCCCGGCUCCUGCUCCCUGAGCCCGCCUUAGACCAGAACACUGCGGAAGAGGAAAUCCAUCAUGGAAACCCGAGAGUGACAGGACCCUUGCUUGGUGACAAGUAGAGCUGGUCAUGUCGACAGCCCCCUCUUACCUCGUCGCGUCUCAGCAGAUGUCCAUGGGGUCGUAUUGGGAGUGACUUUUGUACCAGUUGGCUUGGCUGAUUUUGGAAAGAGUGGAAGAACCCCCUUCACCUUGGUUUCAUCACCUUAAAUGGUUUUGAACCAAUGAAGGUGUAUUCCCUUAAAAAGACGGACAGCCCAUCGUGUGAACUAUAGAGUUUGUGGACAGAUU
rnacentral:lncRNA from 1 species